rnacentral:lncRNA from 1 species
ACGUCAAUGUUAACUGUAUCUGUUUAGGAGGACUCUUUGACUUCAACUUAAAAACUUCUGUUGCUUUGUACUUCGCUGUCUCUCUUGGUAAGGACAGAUGUGUUACUAUCCAAUAAGAAGCCUCCACGUGUAUGUUUACCUAAAAAAGACCUAAGUGGCUAAAGGAACAAUUAUGAGAAGUGAUAAAAAGCACAUUGGCGCCGCAAAAUACGAAGGAAAUCUUCGAUGGAAAAUCUUUCUCCUCUACGAGACGACGAUGAGGAAAACGAAGUAGACGAAGCCAAAAUGCUCCUCAUCGGUGAGAACGGAACCAACGGUGAUAGCUUCUCUCCUCGGUCCGACGGUGCACCGGAGCUCCAGCAUUACACUAUCCGCUCCAUCAAGUCAACGGUCGUGAUUCGUCAACUGACGUCACAGGGUCUCUCCUUCCAGCUCUGGCCAGCCGCUUCUACUUUCGUCGCGCUUCUCGAUAACUACCGCCUCGACCCUGCCAACAGCCCCCUCGCCGCAACACUCUCCUCGCUGAAACCCGCCGGCUCUACUACUACACCGAUGAACAUUCUCGAGCUCGGAUCCGGAACCGGCGUCGUCGGAAUCGCCGCGGCGAUCACUCUUUCUUCUCAGUGUGUAGCGGAUCUCUUAUACCGCUAGCAACAACACUAAUACCAUCUAAAGAGUAUAGCUGCGGAGGAACGUUCUUCAGAACUACCCAAGUUGGUGCAAAGAGCAACUCCUGAGCCGCCAGAUUCCCAUCCGCUGUCCAAGGAUAAACCGAGAAGGCACACCUAUCUGCCUGCCAGUAACCCACUUGCAGCACCCAUUCUCUAGUCUGCACCUAGGGGAUGUAAAUCAAGACACAGGUUUCCGAGACCGUUCUGACCGUAAUACUACCGAACUUUCCCCACACUGGGUUCAAAUCAGUAAUAAUCUUUGAAGCAGAAGGACGACGACCGUGAAAGUGAGCCACCACGUGGUCUUUCCAAAGUUCCAAAGUUUUGAGAAGCACAGACUCCGGCGCUUGAACUACCGGCGUCCCGUCCUCUAAGAGCGACGGAUCUGAGAUCUUACGGAGAUUCCUCAAGGACGAUUUGAACCGCGCCGCGUACGAUGGAACGUGCGUAGCUGGAAUCGUCGCUGGGAUCGAAGGAGACUGGAGCUUCAUCUCCAAAUCGCGAUUGCGGAGCUGAGUGUCGCGAUUUGAGAUUCUCGCAGAAGAGGCCCCUCCUGGGUCAAUAGGAGGGCUCAACGAAGGAGCGGAGACCGGAAUCGUCAUGAGAGACAAACGGCGGGGAAUGACUUCUCGCUAGCCGGCGAAAGGCCAACUAACGGCGGAGAGAACCGAAAACCCUAAACGCCCAAAUCGCCCUUUAUUUCGCUCUUAGGAGAGAGAAAAAAGCCUUCCAAAAACACCAAAUUUAAAAACACCAAAUUACAAAUUCAAAAUGAUAAUAUUCUAAAAUUUAUAAAAAGAUAAAAUCAUAGAUGCUAAAAUACAAUUCUUGAAAUCAAAUGUAAUACAAUAUUUGAAAUGUAACACAAAAGAAAUUAUGUUGUAAAAAUCAAAAGUACUAUAAUAUUACUACUAUAUUACUAUCAUCCAAAAUUUAAAACCAUAACAUCCAAAAAUAUCAGAUACUACUAUGCAUACAAUUUAUCAAAAUAAUAGAGUUAUAUUAUUUAAACAUAACAAUGUAGUUACUUAUAAAACCUCCUAAAAUACUUAAGUGGUAGAUGUUACAGUAUUAUAUAUUUAAACAUAAUAUGGAAAUAUAAAGUAUCAUAAACAAAUAUCCUUCUACUUUAUAACUAAAUAAAUUUUAAAAUGUAUCGUAUGCAAAUUGUAAAAAAUUAAAAAACUAUAUUAAAGGAGAUUAUUUAUUUGAUUAUUUCAGAUUAUAAUUUAUGUAACGAACUCAAAAAUAUAUUAAUAAGUGAUAACAAUCAAUAAAAAAUUGAAAUGCAUAAAAAGUCACUACUUGACAAAAAAAAACAAAUCACUAUAUAUCAAUAAUGAUGAUAAGAAACUUAAACAAUAAGAUUAUAUAGAUUUACAAUAUAUAACACUAAAUAUAAAUCAUAUAUAAAACUUCUAUGAUAAUAUCAAAGUUAUAUAUUUAUAAAAUGAAAAAUAUAUGCAUGUUUGUGCGGGUUAAACUCUAGUUUUUGGUUUAUUUUACACAUUUUUAAAUAGAUUUGCUAGAUUUUAAUUAAAAAAUGUGUGACAUUUUCAAACUGAGUGAUACAUAAAUGUGUUUGGAUAUUUAUGUGUCAAACAUUUAGAACUGAGCCAGUCAAGAACUAAAUAGAGCCGACCUAAAACCGAAACCGAUAUAAAAGUAACUUAAUAAGAAUCAACAUUAAUCUGGUCCAAAAACCCAAAUGUCCAAAUCUACGUAUAAGUUUAUAUUCCUAACUUGUAAGGUAAAAUUAUUAAAUUUACACUAAAGUGUUUAUAAUCCUUGUAUACUAAGACUAACUUCUUAAUGUCGUUUGAAUGUAUGAUACGAAGGUCAUCUGCCCACCAAGAAAAAGUAAGAGUUGAUAAAGUUAAAGGGUAUUUAUGUGACCCCCAAUAACAAGAAGUAACAUUUUUGAAAGAAAUGACACUUUGAUGCUUACUUUUAAAAAGUCUAGACUCUAAACAAAGUUGUCCUUUAAAUAUCACUAGCAUUUAGUUAAAAUGUAAACAAAAUGAUUUGGAAUGGGGUAUACAAUGAAAGGGAUGGUGUAGUUGAUGUGGGGGGCUCCAAAAACUUAGGAAAAUUUGCUUUAAUCUUAACUUUUGAUUUUUAAAUUAAUGAAGCAAAUCUAAGGGAUGGGAAUGUGUGCUUUAUGUUCGGUGGCUAGUAACUCAAAUCAGCAGUCUAUGUAGAAUUCGUGUUGUCAAAAAACUCUUUAAGGACAUUGUAACGUAAUUCAGGCAAAGGGUUACCAUGACGAACAUUUACAAUCCUCGACAUAUAUUCUUUGACAAUCACAAAGAUCCAUUGAUAAUCGCCGAAGGUCUUCUAUUCACCAGCGAUAAUGGUCCGUCAUAGAAUCCCUACAUAGAAAAACAUAGGAGGUUAGGUACUUAGACUAUCCGCAACCGUGAUACUGGGUAAAAAACCCUUAGAAUUUUAUUUUUAUUUUUUAUUAUUAUUUUUUUUUUCAGCUGAAAAAAAAUGACCAAUGGUAAGCCGCCACUUAACAGCAGGAUCCGCGAACAGUUACAAUGUUCCAAACGAAUUGAUCCUUAGAGAAUGAUUUGAAGAGGCCAAUCCUUAACAUCAAGUUUUUUACUAUUUUUUACCUAGGUUUUGGAGCUAAAAAAUUGGCAAGAAACUCCAUUGCGGAUGCUCUUAUAUUAUAUCUUUUUUAUUUAUGAUUAGGGUUAAAAAACUAACCCAACUUUAGAUAUAAUCAUAUAAUCCCAGCGAAUAGUGGCAAUUAAUCUGGGUCGUGGAUGUCAAUGAUCAACAACUGAUCCAACGAUCUUAAAGUUGAAGCAAAUAUGUGUUUUGUCAAGAUCUGGCAAGAAUGCAACUUAUAUUUAAGGUAUAAAUAGUGACCAUGGAACGGCGAGGAUUAGGAAUAAUACAUUCCAUAACGUUCCCAAAAAAAAACACCAUUCACAAGGAAUAAUAAUUCCAUCGCAUUCCCUAUCAUUCCUUUUUUUGUAGAGAAUUGAAGAACAAAAUUAUUCUUUGAUAAAAUUGAUAAGAAACAACCAUUCCUUUUUAUUCCUGUUAUUUUAUUCCCGAACAUUCCUUUUUUAUUCGUUCAUUUUGUUUCCCGAAUGGUCACCAGUCAGACCCUUAGCUAAGACUCAACGGUAGUUUAAGGAAAAAUAUCAUUGGAAUAAAAAAUGUCACAACAUGUAAUAAAUAAGCUAAAAUGUGACCGGAGGCAUAAUAUUCUCUAAUGAUCUUUCCAUUUUUCAUUCCUACUUGAUUUGCCAUCUCAAUUCCAUGAUUAAGGGGAGACUAUCAUCCAAAUAUGCAAUGGCUUCAGACAAAUCUUCAAGUUUCACUGUCCUAAUUUCAUCAAUAUAUCUGCAGUCUUGAACCAACUAAUCCCAAUCUAAACCUACUUUGUAAAGUCAUCCAAAAUAUUAGGACUAUAAUUACAAUUUACGAAAACUAUUUGGGGUUAAAACAAAUACGUGCUAACAAUUGGGACUGUUAUGUGAAUUUACAAAACAUACAUGUGGCUAUUUUGAAGUCGUACAACUAAUUGAACCUUACUGUAAAUUGUCAAAACUAUUGGGGACGAAAGUAAAUCACCAACUUGGAGUGGAGUGACAGACUUUUGAGUAGAGAAACGUGGACUGAAGAAGAGAAAAUGUGGCGCCGGAGCUUUAGCGCGACGCCUGGUCAAUUGACUAAGAAGAAAUGGGACGCGUUAGUGAUCGGCGGCGGCCACAACGGUUUGGUAGCUGCAGCUUACCUAGCGCGCGGCGGUCUCUCCGUCGCAGUUCUCGAGCGACGCCACGUCAUCGGCGGGGCGGCAGUGACGGAGGAGAUCGUCCCCGGCUUCAAAUUCUCGCGUUGCAGUUACGUCCAGGGGCUAAUCCGUCCAUGCAUCAUCAGGUUUUUCAAACUCUUGAAAAACUUCUUUCGAUUUCUAGCUAAUUGGCGCGUUCUCUCUGAUCAUGGAUUGUGAUGGAUUCAGUGAUUUGGAGUUAGGCAGACACGGGCUGAAGCUUCUGAAGAGGAGUCCUGCGUCGUUUACGCCUUGUUUGGAUGGGCGUUAUCUUCUUCUAGGCCCAGAUCAGGCGCUUAAUCACUCUGAGAUUUCCAAGUUCUCGAGAAGUGAUGCUGAAGCUUACCCAAGGUGAUCUUGUUUUGGGCGUAAAUAGGAUAAUUUAAUUUCACUAGAACUUUUUUUUAUUUGGAUUUGCAGAUACGAGAAGCAGCUAGAGAGGUUUGGUAGAUUCAUGGAUACUCUCUUGGAUGCAGCUCCUCCAGAGUCUCUGCAAGGUGACUCUUCUUUUAAUGACAAGCUGAGCAAUAAGUUGCACAAAUCUGCUUUCUGGGCUCGGUGUCUCCGCCAAGCAGCUUCUUUGGGGCAAAAGGAUAUGGUGUAUGGUUUCUUAUCUCUUAAUGUGUGUGUGAUACACGUGCUCUCUAUCUCUCUAUGGUUAGUAUGGAAUAAUUAGAAGUGUCAAGCUAAUAAGAAGUAAUGCAGAGAGAGUCGUUUAGUGUUAUGUGAGUGUCUAUCUCACACGUGGAUUGGCACGUGAUAGUUAUAUGAGCAAUAGGUAGUAUACAACAAGGGUGUGAGAUUAGGGAAAGGCAUCACGCAACGCAAGAGAGUGGUCACUCAGGGGGAGGAGAGAGACUCCAUUAACAUCUCUCAAAGCUUGUAACACAGUUCUAUAAAUCAGUAAUAUAAAUGUUGUUUCUUGUUGGUCUAUAUCUUUACUGAAUCGUUACGCUUUGAGAGCCUCCAUUGUUGAUCUGAAUGCCUGCUCUUUGAUGCACUUGUGUUGUUUUGUUUUGUGAAGGGACUUCAUGGAUCUUCUAUUGGCCCCAGCUUCAAAAGUUUUGAACAACUGGUUUGAGGUUGUUUUCUGACCUUACCACGUCUUGGUUCUAUUAAUUAACAACUGGUAGCUAUAUCUGAUGUUAUACGGUUUCUGGUUGGCCUUAUACUUUCAGUCUGAUGUCCUGAAGGCGACUCUUGCAACAGAUGCUGUGAUUGGAUCUACGGUAAUUGAAUUUCUUAUUUAGAUCUUGAGCUUUGAGGUUUCAAAUUUUCUUGAUAUAUUUAUUAUUAUUAAUCUAAGGAAGGGGAAAGGUGAGAGAUGCUUCUUUAUGUUCAGGAAGCUGCUCAAUAGUAAAUUGGGGAGUUAAUGUAGUUCUCUGAACAUUUUUUGACAGGCCAGUGUCCAUACUCCUGGAAGUGGAUAUGUCUUGCUACAUCAUGUGAUGGGAGAAUCAGAUGGAGAGCAUGGCAUUUGGUCGUAAGUAUUCGAAAUAUCAAAUUGUAUUUUCUUCUAAAUGAAUUUGGCAAUGUAGAAAUAGUGGUGUAUGUUUUACAAAGGUCUGAAUGCGUAAGCAAUAGAAGAACUCUUUUUUACUUGAUAAUAAUAAAACAUGCAUUCUCGCGAGGGGUGAAUGAAGGGCACAAGAUGGUCUUUUAAAGUAAGGCCUGACUCUGCGUAGUAGCUGAUAAGAAAUAUUUUGUAGUUACGUCGAAGGUGGGAUGGGCUCUGUCUCCAUGGCUAUAGCCAAUGCUGCAAAGGAAGCUGGCGCUCAAAUUUUCACAAACGCAGAGGUAUUUGUUUUCGGGAUCAUUUUGAGGACUAUCUUGUUCCUAACAUCUCUUGUUCCUAGUUUCCAAAAAAAAAACAUCUCUUGUUCCUAACGUCUCUCCUAUCAUAAAGCAGAACCGCUUAGUACACUCUCAAUUUUACUCUGCAGGUUUCUGAAGUGUUGACUGAGGAUUCUAGCAGCGUGAAAGGGGUUAGUUUGUCUUUCAAUGAUUCCCGGAUAAAGUGAAAGCUUGAAUCAAAUACAUCUGACAUUAUCUGGUAUAAGGUUUUGCUUGCUGAUGGUACACGGGUGGAAUCAUCGGUUAUAUUGUCCAAUGCAACCCCUUACAGAACUUUUGUGGUAAAUCUUUUUGUGUCAUAUCAUGUCUACUUGAAAAACUCCAGUUUAUGCAAGUUUACAUUGAGGUCGUCUGUUUCGGAUAACAGGAGCUGGUUCCGUCCAAUGUUCUUCCUGAAAAGUUCGUCAGUGCUAUAAAGAACUCAGAUUACAGCUCAGUAAGCAUUUUUUAUUUAUUUUAUUUAAGUUCCUUAAGCCAAAUAGUUUAAUUAUUGCUCCAUCUAGCUAAUUGUUUUGGUGAUUGAUUGAUUUGUUUGCUGUGAACAGGCAACUACCAAAAUAAACAUGGCUGUUGACAAGUUACCGCAGUUCCAAUGCUGUAACAACACUAAUCAUUCGGGACCAGGACCAGAGCAUUUCGGCACUAUACACAUUGGUGCAGAGACGUAUGCCUCGUGCUAAUUUUAUCUUUGACUUUUGUAUCUCUAAGAACAAAUGAAAACAUCAACGUCUCUGUUUUAUCUCUGGCUUUGUCAGCAUGGACGAGGUUCACACAGCAUGUCAUGAUGCUGAAAACGGCUUACCAUCAAGAAGACCAGUGAUCGAAAUGACUAUUCCAUCCACACUAGACAAUACCAUAUCUCCUCCAGGCACGCUUAUUCUCCUUUUUCUUGUGUGUCUAGUAAUAAGAAUGCAUUUUAGCUCUGAAUGUGGUUUUGUGUUAUAGGGAAACAUGUAAUCAACUUGUUCAUCCAAUACACUCCUUACAAGCCAUCAGAUGGAACCUGGGAAGAUCCUGUGUAUCGAGUGAGUUAAGUUUAUACACUCUUAUCUAACGUCAUUUUUAUCACUCCUCAAAUUGUACAUUCCGUAUGGGAUGUUUACCAGCUUGAUUGUGUGAAAUCAGGAAGCAUUUGCACAAAGAUGUUUCAAAUUGAUUGAUGAAUAUGCACCUGGGUUUAGCUCAUCCGUCAUUAGCUACGAUAUGCUGACUCCUCCCGAUCUCGAAAGGGAAAUUGGUCUAACAGGUAGAUUAUGCAGUAAAAGCUUCCUAUUAAAAGGGAUAUGAAAUGAUCCAAACCAUAUUGACAUCCCCACCAUGUGUUCCGUAGGAGGAAACAUCUUUCACGGUGCCAUGGGAUUAGAGUCUCUCUUCUUGAUGCGGCCGGUGAAAGGAUGGUAAAUCUUAUGCACACCCUUCUCACAAUUCAGAAACAGUCCAUACGAUUCAUGAUUUAAAAAAGGUGGGAAAAUGUGACACAGGUCGAACUACAAAAGUCCUUUGAAAGGACUCUACUUGUGCGGAAGUGGAGCUCACCCCGGAGGUGGAGUUAUGGGCGCACCGGGAAGAAACGCAGCUCUUGUUGUUCUUCAAGACUUGAAAUAAAUCUAGAGACGUCAAUGUUAACUGUAUCUGUUUAGGAGGACUCUUUGACUUCAACUUAAAAACUUCUGUUGCUUUGUACUU